GCAAAAGUUUAUGGGUCUAGGAUAAAAUAUUUCCAUUUCCCCCAAGAUAUGAUCAAUGGGCUGAUGCGGGGUCAUAAUUCCAUUUUAAGAAGUUGGAGGUGUGAUUUUUUAUAGAGAUUAAUUUAUAUGUUUUGUUUGUUGUAAAAUAUUUUUACACGUACCGUACAUUCAACCAAAUAAUUUUAAAUAGAUAUUGGUAGAGAUAUUCUAUCAACUAUAACCAAAAAGAUGGCAGCAUAGAGUAACUUGAUCAAAUGCAUGUAUAAAAAAGAAUUACACUGUUGUAUAUACAAAUUAAAUAAUUUUUAAAUUGUUCUAAAUAAGUUCUAA
rnacentral:lncRNA from 1 species